UUUCCAUGGAGGCACUGGUGGGUUAGCAGGGAGACAUUGAAUUCAAUCCUGAGUGGAACAGGAAGCCAGUGAAGGGAUUUGAGAAUUGGGGUGAUGUGGUCAUAUUUCCGCAGUCUCAUCAGGAUCCUAGCAGCACUAUUCUGCUAAUGCGGCCUCGUGAUGGUCUUGAGUCGCGACUGGUCGAUGACGUCUAGCAGGUUCUUGGCAUCAACGGCGAGGGCGUGUGCCGCCAUCAGCAUCUGCUUCUUGUAGUCCUUCUGCAGGCUGAGGGACAGAAGCGACACAUCAACACAGAGGAAGUCAAAGGAGAGAAGAGCGCCGUGAUUCCAGCAGCUGUCAAAGACGAAGUAUCCUUCCAGCGACGGGGAGUCAAAGCCGAAGUGCGAUCGAUCGCUGUCAAUGACGUAAGAGGAAACAUGACCACGGAAGUAAAUGGGGGGGGGGGGGCACAGCACACCACAACCCAACAGAAGAAGAAGAAAAAAAUAAAAAGAUGGCAUCGCCGGCAGCAAACGUGGGAAUACUAAAGACCAGGUAAAAAAAAUAAUAAUAGUCAACACUUUCUUAAUGGAAAUGACAAUAAUAUUAUAAUAAUGAUAAAUAAUAUUAUCACGCAUUAAUAUCUCUUAGCCUCUAAUGCGUGGCCAAGAGCUAUUAAUGCCACGCAAGAGAUAUUAAUGCCUUGCAUCGUCUAUAUUAGAUAUAUAACAACGGGUGGGUGGCGGGCGGUUGUGGUUUUGAUAAAAUGUUAGUUCGGGUAAUGGCGUGACGACUUUUGUGAUGCGGUUGCGGAUGAAAUAAUUGCCUAUCCGCGCAUCUCUAAUAUAUAUACAAAUCCAUCUAUUUUCUAUUAUACAAUAUGUAAUAUAAUAUUUAAUAAAAUAAAUAUAAAAUCAUACAAAUAAUAAAGAAUAACAUUUAUACAAAAAAUAUGAAAUACACAUUGAAGGGGUCAUAUUAGGAUUUGUUUCUACAUUUAAAACACUUCCUUGUGGUCUACAUAACAUGUAAUGGUGGUUCUUUGGCCAACAUUUUGAAUAGAUUAUGUUGCACAGAUCAUCUUCAAUCUGACCGUCUCUUCAGGAUGUGCAGCUUUGUCUGCGUUUCAUUUACAUUGGAAGUGGGAAGAGGGAGAUGGGAAUGAUGUCAAACCCGAGUUGAGGGCUUUCCAGUUACAAUGUCGGAAAUCAAGAUGCCACAUCCACGAAAGCUAUUUUUGCACUUACCCUGUCUGAAUAUAAACAACUUGUGUGAAAAUAUGCACUCUUUCUUCAACCUUUAAACACGGUGGAUAAAGAGGAAAAACAGACGCUAUUGCUCGCGACGUACGGCGUUAUAUACCACUUGAAAUGAAUGCACUUUACACUACAGUGACGUUAACAUAUAUAAACGUAUAACAAUACAUUGUAUAUGACCGAUUUACUGCAACAAAAACUAAUCAGAAGUGCCAAUAACUUUAUAUUAUAGAAGCGGACAUCAUUGUGUCCAUCCAGAGCAGCCAUCUUUGAAACAAACUCGGGGGUGCUGAGAAUGCUCCGACUUUCCGAGUCGGAAAUCCGACCUCGAAGGGUGUUCCAGUUGAAAUUCCGACGAGGAACUCGGAAAUUCCAACUUCACAGUACAAAUGGACCGCAUCAUUAUUUACGAGCCUCCACCUUGACUGUGUCUUGUCCCCCGCCAUCUUUGUUGUAGUUUUUAGGGCUUUCAUAGAGUCUACUGAAAGAUUAAGUUAGAAAUGUACGCUACGUUGUAUUAGAAAUAGCAACAGCCGAGGAUGCAUGUGCAUGUAUGAGCUAGUCUGCCCCACAACAAGAGGAUUUAGAAAAAGAAGGAGCUCAUCGACUUCAGCGUCGGACUACAAUGGCGGACCCGUGCAAAGCCCUUUGGGUAAAUUUCGACCAUAUAUGGAAAAUCCGGUAAUGUUUUCAGUGCGAAAAUCGUCACAGGUUGUGCAAAUUUUUAACGGCUUGUUUGACGAAGUAAGAAGGAAGGCAAGAUUAUUUAAAAUAUAUCUCCAACAUGCCUCCACGGUUUGAUUUCAAAUUUUCGGGACAUAUAAAGAUACACAAAAACAGGUACCAAUAAGCAGUGUUGGGACUAACGCGUAACUAAGUAACGCGUUACUGUAACGCCGUUAGUUUCGGCGGUAACUAGUAAUCUAACGCGUUAUUUUUUAUAUGCAGUAACUCAGUUACCGUUACGGCAUGAUGCAUUACUGCGUUAUUUUACGUUAUUUUUAUGUAGUAUCGGCUAGAAACAGAAGAUCUGAGUGUGUUUUAUUGGAGCGCUCCGGUGGAAAAUAAGAGGCGUGCUUUCUGUGGGUGGGGGAAAGCACGCCUCCCCGCAGGUUGUUAGCCGUACUUCGGGGCUAACAACCUUCACUUUACCCGGAAGAGGGUCUUUACAGCUGAGGGUGAAUGACGAGACCGGCGGUUUGGUGAAACUUUGUGACUUUAUUGGACGCAGCCAUCCACCAAGCUAAAACACCUGCACACACUCACUGUCGCCGCUCCCUCACCUCUCUCGCCCACUCACUCACUGACGUCACUCACCUCACAUGUUGUCAUAUCUUAAAGGGCCACACACACACACAUACGCUACUCUCAUAACAACUAACAAGACAUCAUGGUGAAGCCAGAAGUCGAGUUUUUUAACAUGGAGACAUUCUCAAUACUUUUCUUUUGUCGAGCACAAAGAAAAUAACAUUUUAGUUAAAUGUAAGUUGUGUCUUGGAUCAAAGAUCCUAUCUACUUAGAGUUAAAGUUAAAGUGCCAUUAUGU